UUUUUUGGAGAGUUUGAUCCUGGCUCAGGACGAACGCUGGCGGCGUGCCUAAUACAUGCAAGUCGAGCGGACCGAAGGGAGCUUGCUCCUUUAGGUUAGCGGCGGACGGGUGAGUAACACGUGGGCAACCUGCCCUGCAGACUGGGAUAACUUCGGGAAACCGGAGCUAAUACCGGAUAACACCGAAAACCGCAUGGUUUUCGGUUGAAAGGCGGCUUUAGCUGUCACUGCAGGAUGGGCCCGCGGCGCAUUAGCUAGUUGGUGAGGUAACGGCUCACCAAGGCGACGAUGCGUAGCCGACCUGAGAGGGUGACCGGCCACACUGGGACUGAGACACGGCCCAGACUCCUACGGGAGGCAGCAGUAGGGAAUCUUCCGCAAUGGACGAAAGUCUGACGGAGCAACGCCGCGUGAGCGAAGAAGGUCUUCGGAUCGUAAAGCUCUGUUGUCAGGGAAGAACAAGU
rnacentral:rRNA from 1 species